GUGCUUGCUUCAGCAACACAUAUACUAAAAUUGGAACAAUACCGAGAUUAGCAUGGCCCUGCGCAAGAAUGACACGCAAAUUUGUGAAGCGUUCCAUAUUAAA
rnacentral:snRNA from 1 species